rnacentral:snRNA from 1 species
GUGCUCGCUUCGGCAGCACAUAUACUAAAAUAGGAACGAUACAGAGAAGAUUAGCAUGGCCCCUGCACAAGGAUGACAGGCAAAUUCGUGAAGCGUUCCAUAUUAAA